rnacentral:misc_RNA from 1 species
AACAAGGCGUACCUGCGGACCUGCGGAGGGAUCAUUACAAGUGACCCCGGUUUACCACCGGGAUGUUCAUAACCCUUUGUUGUCCGACUCUGUUGCCUCCGGGGCGACCCUGCCUUCGGGCGGGGGCUCCGGGUGGACACUUCAAACUCUUGCGUAACUUUGCAGUCUGAGUAAACUUAAUUAAUAAAUUAAAACUUUUAACAAUGGAUCU